UACGAAGGGGGCUAGCGUUGCUCGGAAUCACUGGGCGUAAAGCGCACGUAGGCGGAUUGUUAAGUCAGGGGUGAAAUCCUGGAGCUCAACUCCAGAACUGCCUUUGAUACUGGCGAUCUUGAGUCCGGGAGAGGUGAGUGGAACUGCGAGUGUAGAGGUGAAAUUCGUAGAUAUUCGCAAGGACACCAGUGGCGAAGGCGGCUCACUGGCCCGGUACUGACGCUGAGGUGCGAAAGCGUGGGGAGCAAACAGG
rnacentral:rRNA from 1 species